UCCUCUCUCCAUUCAUCCUCCCUGUCACUAUGAAGGACACCGGGGAGAACCCAGGGUCGGGCCGCAGUCCCGUACCACCUCUUACUUCCUGUGUGCCGCUUUAAAGGUGCUGUACCCGCCAGUAAGUUUGGGAUACGUCUGGAGAGGCCUGUGGGCAGAGAUUCUGGCAGAUCCAUGCUUGCAUCAGGACCAGAAUUCAGAGCUGCUCAGCGCUGGCAAGUCCUGCGAUCAUUUCUAUUGUCUCUACUCAACAACUGCACAGAUGAGGUCAGAGAUCGGGGACUGAGGGCGAC